rnacentral:scRNA from 1 species
ACUCUUGAAAAAAUCGCUACGUGGUUACAACA